AUACCUUUCUCGGCCUUUUGGCUAAGAUCAAGUGUAGUAUCUGUUCUUAUCAGUUUAAUAUCUGAUAUGUGGGUCAUCGGUUCAUACGAUAUUAACUCAAUUUUUUAAGGGGAAGACUCAUCAAGGUAGCUUGCUACCUGAGCCUUCGCGUGUCGCCCAUGCGUUGCACUAUAGCACGGGCCUGGCGCACCCAGC